rnacentral:rRNA from 1 species
UACGAAGGGGGCUAGCGUUGCUCGGAAUCACUGGGCGUAAAGGGUGCGUAGGCGGGUCUUUAAGUCAGGGGUGAAAUCCUGGAGCUCAACUCCAGAACUGCCUUUGAUACUGGGGAUCUUGAGUUCGAGAGAGGUGAGUGGAACUGCGAGUGUAGAGGUGAAAUUCGUAGAUAUUCGCAAGAACACCAGUGGCGAAGGCGGCUCACUGGCUCGAUACUGACGCUGAGGUGCGAAAGCGUGGGGAGCAAACAGG